rnacentral:lncRNA from 7 species
CGAUCUUUAUAUUUUUAUUCAAAAAAUCUUUCCAGUUCUGUGGACCAAACACUAGCAUUGUUGACCAACUGUAAUCUGUAAUCAAGCAGGGUCACCCAGAUACUCCUCACAAUGGCCCAGGACAACACUAACAAGCUCUGCAUCCCUGACAGUGGCUGCAUCACUUCCAGUGCAAAGGCCGCUAUUGGUAGAAUUAUAUUAGAUUUCAUUACAUCAGUAUAUGACUUAGUAGUAAAUUCUCCUGUUGGUCAUAAACCUCUAAAGUGUUGUCAUCCUGAAAAAUGAAAUUAAAAAAGGGAAGACAAUGCCAGGAUGCUUUGGUGGUGCUCAUACUGUUGUGGAACAGCCCCACCUGCUGUUGGGGUGAAGAAGCCUUCAUGGGCCGUGGGUGAUGCUGGGGCAUUUGGCAGGGACCUCAGAGAACCUGGUCACCAAACGCGUUACCCACAGAAAUAGCACUGCUGAGGCCUCCAAUCCCCCUCCUCGCUGAGGGGCACGUACCAACACUUGGCCUACCGAGUCCCAAGGGCUCCCCAGGCCACUGGUGACUUCUGCUGUCCUUCUAAGGCCUGAGCACAGCCCGUAAGGCUGGUGCCUUGCCACAAGGCCUGCUGCACCCAUUUUCCCCCUCCAUUCAACAGCUUAUAAUUACACCAAGCAACCGGUCGGCAAUCGUGCUGCCUGCAACAUCUGGGAGAUCUUAAGGCCGAUCCCAGUCCAAGCGGCACUGAUGUAAUUGUUUUGCUGGGUGAAGGAUGAUAACUCUCCCCACGUGUGUUUAUACUCCUUCAAAAUAAUCCAAUGGUUUUUUUGAAGAUCACUUAUGUCAACACGUGCUUU